CCUACGUGUGGCAGCAGUGGGGAAUAUUGCACAAUGGGGGGAACCCUGAUGCCGCGACGCCGCGUGAGUGAAGAAGUAUUUCGGUACGUAAAGCUCUAUCAGCAGGGAAGAAAAUGACGGUCCCUGACUAAGAAGCCCCUGCUAACUACGUGCCAGCAGCCGCGGUCAGACGUAGGGUGAAAGAGUGAGCCGGAUUUACUGGGGGUAAAGGGAGCGUAGACGGCAGAGCAAGUCUGAAGUGAAAGCCCGCGGCCCAACUGCGGGACUGCUUUGGAAACUGCGCGGCUAGAGUGCUGGAGAGGUAAGCGGAAUUCCUAGUGUAGCGGUGAAAUGCGUAGAUAGUAGGAGGAACACCAGUGGCGAAGGCGGCUUACUGGACAGUAACUGACGUUGAGGCUCGAAAGCGUGGGGAGCAAACAGGAUUAGAUACCCGUGUAGUC
rnacentral:rRNA from 1 species